rnacentral:rRNA from 1 species
GCCCUUUUCCGGUUGAUCCCGCCGGACCCGACUGCUAUCGGAUUGAGAUUUAGCCAUGCGAGUHGAACGUCCCCCUGUUGCGGGGGGCGUGGCGUACGGCUCAGUAACACGUAGUCAACCUGCCCUGGAGACAAGGACAACCCCGGGAAACUGGGAUUAAUCCUUGAUAGGUCAUCUCAUCUGGAAGGAGAGAUGGCUUAAAGGGGUACGCGGGCUUCUUCCGCGAAUUCGCUCCAGGAUGGGACUGCGUCCGAUCAGGCUGUUGGCGGGGUAAUGGCCCACCAAACCUGUAACCGGUACGAGCCUUGAGAGAGGUGGCCCGGAGAUGGACACUGAGACAAGGGCCCAGGCCCUACGGGGCGCASAGUCGCGAAAACUUUGCAAUAAGCGAAAGCUUGACAGGGCUAUCCCGAGUGCCAUCCGCUGAGGAAGGCUUUUACCCAGUCUAGAACGCUGGGGGAAUAAGGAGAGGGCAAGUCUGGUGUCAGCCGCCGCGGUAAUACCAGCUCUUCGAGUGGUGUGGAUGUUUAUUGGGCCUAAAGCAUCCGUAGCUGGCUAAGUUAGUCCCUUGUUAAAUCCACCGAAUUAAUCGUUGGAUUGCGGGGGAUACUGCUUGGCUAGGGGACGAGAGAGGCAGACGGUAUUUUCGGGGUAGGGGUGAAAUCCUAUAAUCCCGGGAAGACCACCAGUGCGCGAAGGCUGUCUGCUAGAACGCGCCCGACGGUGAGGGAUGAAAGCUGGGGGAGCGAACCGGAUUAGAUACCCGGGUAGUCCCAGCUGUAAACGAUGCAGGCUAGGUGUUUGGACGGCCACGUGCCGUUCUAGUGCCGCAGGGAAAGCUGUUAAGCCUGCCGCCUGGGGGAGUACGAUCGCAAGAUUGAAACUUAAAGGAAUUGG